rnacentral:rRNA from 1 species
CCCGCUGAACUUAAGCAUAUCAAUAAGCGGAGGAAAAGAAACCAACAGGGAUUACCUCAGUAACGGCGAGUGAAGCGGCACCAGCUCAAAUUUGAAAUCUGGCCUCUCGGGGUCCGAGUUGUAAUUUGUAGAGGAUGUUUUGGGUACCGUCCCGGUCUAAAUUUCUUGGAACAGAAUGUCAGAGAGGGUGAGAAUCCCGUCUUGGACCGGCGGUAGGGCCUGUGUAAAACUCCUUCGACGAGUCGAGUUGUUUGGGAAUGCAGCUCAAAAUGGGUGGUAAAUUUCAUCUAAAGCUAAAUAUUGGCCAGAGACCGAUAGCGCACAAGUAGAGUGAUCGAAAGAUGAAAAGCACUUUGAAAAGAGAGUUAAACAGUAUGUGAAAUUGUUGAAAGGGAAGCGCUUGCACCCAGACUUGAGCGCGGCGGUUCCCCUGGCCUUUUGGCCAGGCUACUCCGUCGUGUCCAGGCCAACAUCGGUUCUGAGGGUCGGUCAAAGGCUCUGGGAAUGUAUCUACCCACGGGUAGACUUAUAGACCAGGGUGUCAUGCGGCCUCUCGGGACCGAGGAACGCGCUUCGGCUCGGAUGUUGGCGUAAUGGUUGUCAGCGACCCGUCGUGAAACACGG